rnacentral:miRNA from 1 species
CACCCGUAUUGCUUCCUCUGAG